rnacentral:tRNA from 1 species
GCCUAGGUGGCUCAGUCAGUGAAGCAUCUGACUUCAGCUCAGGUCAUGAUCUCGUGGUUUGUGAGUUCAAGCCCCGUCUCAGGCU